rnacentral:lncRNA from 1 species
UUCUCACAUGUCUGUUCCGUAGCCCUAACUUUAUAUUUGUACUUUUAUAUUUUUUUCUUAAAGAGACUGUCCACCUUCAGCUGUACAGGUUCAGAUCUGCUAUAGUGACUAGCAGCCUGGUUUGCCUGGGACUGAGGGGACUUCCAGGGAUAUGGGACUUUCAAUGCUAAACCCAGUAAGUUUCAAGGUAAACUGGGAUGAUUUGGUCACCUUAAAUGGUUCCCCUGUCCCCACAGUAUCUGCGAACAUAGGAAAAUGGCAGUUCUUAUGGAGGUUCUCACCUUGGACCCUGAUUUGAAUCUCGUGGUACUGAGGGUCUGGCAGCUCCCUGGAAGGCUCCUUUUCUCAUAGCUGGGAAGGAAGUUUCCACCUGCCAUGAGAUGUAGGGCUUGGUCUUCUCCCAAAGACCCUGGGCAGCCUUUGAUACACCUGUCACCUUGUCCUCCACAUGCCCAUCACUGUUGCAGGGUGACCAGCUCCCUCUCCCCUGGACCUCCUUGCCAAGGAACAUGCUGUGAAAUAUCAGAUCACAUCUUCUCUAGGUCAGGUUCUGACAGCUCUUCCUCAGGCAGACUUACAACAGCUCUUUCUGAGGCAGAUGUACAACAGAUGGUCCAGUGGUUAGGAAGUGGGAAUUUGAGUGGCAGCUGCCAGCCUGGGCAGGUGUAUUCUAGCCCCAUCUGCCAAUAUGCCAACCUAGGCUCUUAUGACCUCUUUGCUCAACCCUGAUCUACUUGAGUGUGCUAACCCACAGUGCCUUGCCCAUGUACACACACACAUGCACAUUCACACAGCUUCCCAAAGACACAUCUGAGUUCUAGUCCCAUUUGCAGAUCCAUCGUGCACAAUUAUAUACCAAUGAAUGGCUUAUGUGUCCUCACGUAAACAUGCAUGCCGAGGUCAUAUAUGCACACCUGCACCAGGAGAGGUUGGGCACAGAACUCUCUGAGUUCCUUCUGGUGCUGAGGCUGUGCUGAGCAGCAGGUGCCCACUUUCAGGCUCAUCUCCCUAAUGAUGCUGAUCUAGGAGGCGGACAGGGAAGGUCUCCAGCACCCUGCUUCUGCCCCACAUGUCUGGGAUGAGACGGUCUGGCACACUGAUGUCUGCCCUGGUACUCAGCAUCCCAAGCUGCUCUGUGCAGUUGCCAAGUCCAAUAAAAUAACUUCUUAUGACAGGGAAGCUGUGAUCCAGGAUAGGAUCUGGUACUGCACAUGAAGGCAUAGGUUUGGGGGAUGUACCCUUUCUGGACAGGACUGUGAGGCUCCACCUAUCCCAGCCCAGUUGAGGUCCUAAAGUCUGGGCUAAGUGUACCCACCUAGCUGGAAUUUGGGAGUCCCUCCCCACAGUGAUGGGCUGUGGGGUUAGUAGCUCAACUGUGGGGCUGGGGAGUCCUAGACACUAUCACCUCUGAAAUAUGGCCAUCCCUAUCCCCUGGCUGUGUCCAGGCCAGGUAUAGGGUGGCUGCCUCAGAUUUCUCUGACAUGGAGAUGGGAUUCCUCCUCUUAUCUGUCUAAGGCCCUUCCUGUUCCCCUGAGGGACUCUGUAGAAGCCUGGGGAUGCCACUUAUUCCCCCAGUCCCCAUAUACCUGGGAUUAGUACCCAUUGUCUGGGAUUUCUGUGUUGUAAUGCUGGCUCUUGGUCACUGUGGCAUUCACACAGGUGGGCAAAAGCUCCAGCCCUGCCAUUGCCUCUUUUUACCCCAUAGUAGUCUCCUUUGCUAUUUCAGCCUGGCCCAUGGCUCCGCCUGGGUAGGGGACACACCAAAUAAUAUCUUCUCCAGAAAGUUUUUUUCUUCUGGCAUGUUUCUGCACCAAACAGAAGUGCUCCCUAUUGGGACCUUGACAGGGCCCUUAGGAGAGCUUAGUGCUGUAAUCUCUCUGCUUUGGUGUCUCCCACAAAAAUGUCAUGAACCAUUUAGGGGAGAGACCAUGUUUCGUGAAUAGGUUGCUUCAGUAUCCUUAUCAGACCUGUCCCACAGUGGGUCCUAAUGAACAGUUGUUGAUUGGCUGAAUGACUGAGUGAAUGAAUUAAGAUUGUGUCCUAAGUCCUAGUCAACGACUGACCUUCUGCAGGCCAUUGACAUGCUCCCUCAUCCUCCAUCCAUCCAUGAACCUAUAGACUGGAAUAGCCAAGGGGUAUACACUGAAAUGCCUGCUGAGCCAGCCAGGAUGUGGAACUGUGUCAGAUGGCUGAGGGAUAUGCAAUAGGGAGUGGUGCGACUGCUACACACAUAUCCAUAGCGUAUUUAAACAUUGAAUUGAGCAAGCAAAAUGGUUGUAUUUCAGUGUGGAAAAGGAUCUCUUCAGUUCUGCUAUCUUGUAAUUUGACGCUUCCCACCCUCUUGUUUGUACUUUGCAAGGCCUGAGGGCAGGGCAGUGUGAUAGAUUAAACAGCAGAUAAGCGAAAGACCUCUUCCAGAGAUGAAGCUGUUGAUAACAAGCCUGCCAGCUGCCUCUGGAGCUGGCCACAUGUGACCAGGCUGCUUGUAAACAGGCAAGGUCCAGCCACCACUUGGGAGACCAGACUAGGUAGCUGGACACACCCAUAUCCUAGAAGUUUUAUGAGGCUUCCACAGCAGGGCCAUUGUCUGCAGAGUCAGUUGGGGGAGUCACGUGUGGGGUCCCGCAUGAACAUUAACCAGCAGGGACAUGACCACAGCAGGGCCCCAGAAACUGGUUUACCCUGGACAGUUUGCCCAGAGAUAAGCUUGGCAAUGAAUCAGCAGAAUGAGUGGGCACACAGGGCUGUAAAUUGUGUGUGGUGCCCAGUGGAGGUUCUGUGAUCGCUGGGGAUGAAACUGGUCCUGGAGGCCCUUGUCUUGAACAGGAGUGGAGAGGGGAGGAGGCCUGGAUCUAUUUAGUUCGGUGGAAGCAGAUCCAUGAUGACUCUUUGGCUUCUAUUUCAGAGCAAGCCUUUUCUUAUUUCCUCAUUUCCCCUCCCUAACAGCCCUCUGUGAUAGGCGUGGUGGCCUCAUUUUCCAGAUGGGAAACUGAGGCUCUGAGAGGUCAUCUUGUUACAGCAGCUGCCUGCAGUCCCGUGGCUGCAGUGUGUCAGCUCUAGCAGCAGCCCUGUGGCUGCAGUGUAUCAACUCCAGCGUCUCUUUUACCUGGCGAGAAACCAAGUGAGCACUUGGAGAGUUGAAGAACUCAGGUUUAUUACGCCAGCAGGCUCAGAGGAGAUCACUCUCCAGAGUCUGAGCCCUGAGGAAGGGUUUCACAAGGCUUUUAUAGGCUAGCCCUUCUGGGUCCAUGCUUGGCUGGUUGGAUGGGAGUGAGAACAGGCAGGGUUGUAAUUGUGGAAGCAACAAACGUUACAGAAGCAUAUAUGUGGGGGAGGGGUGGUUGGGGCAGUUGGCUGGACUUUGCUUAGUCAUCAUGGCCGGGGUCUCUAUUUCCUACCUUUUUAUUGGGACAUUUUCUCCUACCAUCUGACCUCCCUGAUGUCACACAGUGGGCAUGCGACAGAGCCAUCGUUUGAGCCCAAGUCUGUUUGGAAAGCCUUGCACUGUCAGCUGCCCCAGGGUUCCCAGCCAGUCAGGCAGCAGGGGCCCCUUUAGUUGCCAUGGAGACUGGAUGCUUUCUCUAGUGACGCUAUUGGAACUUGCCAAUAUGUUUAGAUUCUUCAAGGAAUAAAUUAAGGCAACAGAAUAUUCCACUUUUAUAACACAGGGUCACUUCCAGGUGUUUGGGUUUUCUCGUAACCUCUUAGGGUCCCCAACAGCCUUGGAAUAGCCUUGUUCAUAAGACUCUCCCUGCCCAGCUCAUUCCAUCUCCUCCUGAUGGCCCCCCUGCAUUCGCUCCUGCUCACACAAAGCUCUGGCUUUCCAUUGUCCUCAGGAUAAAUUCUAAAUAUCUGGUAACAUUUAUCUCUGGGCUCUCUCCGUCCCAGACUGAAACUCCUCCACUUCCCCUUUGUCCCCAAAUCUUUAUUUAUUUAUUUAUUUAUUUUGUAUUUGUUGGCUGAAUUUGGAGUUCUUGGGCCUGGGAUCAGAUCUGAGCCCCUGUCAAGACCUAAGCUGCAGCUGCAGCAAUGCAGGAUCCUUAACCUACUGUGCCAGGCCAGGGAUUGAACUUGAGUCCCAGUGCUCCCAAGACGCCACCAAUCCCAUUGCACCACAGCAGGAGCUCCUGUCCCCCAAUCUUGCUGCGCAGUUACGAGAUUCUUCUCAAAUAUUCAACUCUUCACCCCUGUUUCACCACAACACACACACACACAAACACAUACACACACCCCUCCCUCUCCAGCUGGAACUCCUCCAUUAACUCAGUGCAAGCAUCAGCUUCUCAUUUUUUCACUCCUGAUCUCAUGCCCAGCCCUCUGUUCUUACCUGACAACUUUUCAGGCAAUGAUGACCUCUCAGCCUGCAAGGACUGUAUUUGCUCAUCUCUGAGCCUCAGAACUAGCACCAUCUGAUACUACCUACCCUGGGAAUGAGUGAGGGAGUAAGAGGGUGAACCCAUGGGUGAAGUUUCUGGAAGGAAGGGAAAGGUCUGUCCUACAACAAGGUGAAGAUUUCAGGUUUGCUCUGGGACCACUGUCCCCAUUGCCCGAUGCCAGAGAACUGCUACACCUGGCGGGCCUGGCAUUCUCAGACUUGGCUGUAGGAUGAUGUGGGGAGGGGCUUCUCACCUUGCCAGGAGAAUCAGAUUAGAAGGAAAAUUUACUGAAGGAUAAGCCUCUUAGACCUGGGCCAUCUGUUCCCUCUGAGCUGCCUCUCUGCAGUUCUGUGCUCACUUGGGCAUAAACACCCCCCAGGGUGGGGGUAGGGAAGGCUGGGGCUUCCCUGAACUAAGUUCCUCAAUGUGCCAGGCCGCUUGUGGGCACUUGCUAUGCGCCCACGUGUCAGAGCCUCAUGCCAGCUUUUUUUUUUAAUUUUUAAAAAUUAAAAAACAAUUUUUUUUAGAGCUGCACCUGUGGCAUACAUAAGUUCCCAGGCUAGGGGUCAGAUCAGCUGUAGCUGCUGGCCUACACCACAGCCACAGCAAAACCAGAUCUGAGUUGCAUCUGUAACCUACACUGCAGCUCAUGGCAAUGCGGGAUCCUUAACCCAAUGAUUGAGGCCAGGAAUUGAACUCAAGUCCUCAUGGAUACUAGUUGGUUUCAUUACCACUGAGCCACAAUGGGAACUCUCCAUGUCAGCCUUUCAAAUAUGUCAUUAUUCCUCAUUCCCCACUUAUCAUGUUUAGAUUGUGCUGUGAUGAAGGAAAGGAUUGGCCUGCAGGAGAGGCCUCAGGGCACAGGUUUCCUCUAGCAGAAAGCUGUGGCUCUGGAGUUCCUAUUGGGGAUCAGUGGUAAUGAACCUGACUAGUACCCAUGAAGUUGUGGGUUUGAUCUCUGGCCCCGUUCAGUGGAUUAGGGAUCCAACAUUGCCGUGAGCCUUGGUGUAGGUACCGACAUGGCUUGGAUCUGGCAUUGUUGUGCUGUGGUGUAGGCUGGCAGCUGAUUCUACCCCUAUCCUGGGAACUUUCAUAUGCCUUGGGUG